UACGUAGGGUGCAAGCGUUAUCCGGAAUUAUUGGGCGUAAAGCGUCCGCAGGUGGCUGUUCAAGUCUGCUGUCAAAGACCGGGGCUUAACUUCGGAAAGGCAGUGGAAACUGAACAGCUAGAGUAUGGUAGGGGCAGAGGGAAUUCCUGGUGUAGCGGUGAAAUGCGUAGAGAUCAGGAAGAACAUCGGUGGCGAAGGCGAUCUGCUGGACCAUAACUGACACUCAGGGACGAAAGCUAGGGGAGCGAGUAGG
rnacentral:rRNA from 1 species